rnacentral:rRNA from 1 species
UACGUAGGGUGCAAGCGUUGUCCGGAAUCAUUGGGCGUAAAGCGCGCGUAGGUGGUCAUGUAAGUCCGCUGUGAAAGUCAAAAGGCUCAACCUUUGAAAGCCGGUGGAUACUGCAUGACUAGAGUACGGAAGAGGCGAGUGGAAUUCCUGGUGUAGCGGUGGAAUGCGCAGAUAUCAGGAGGAACACCAAUAGCGAAGGCAGCUCGCUGGGACGUUACUGACACUGAGGCGCGAAAGCGUGGGGAGCGAACAGG